CUGAUUCUAGCCAAUAGUAUUGUAGAUUUCUUUUACUUCUUGAGAACUGAUUUCCAGGCUGGUUGGGUUACAGCUGGAUUUUAAUUCUUGACUGAGCCUUCAUGAGUCAGCUGUGCCUUUUUGAGUGGGCUGAGCCUCUGCAGUGGAUGGGCCCUCCAUAGGUGGGGUGUAGCCUCUAGUGUAGGCCUGCCCUCCAGGAGCCUGCUGUGUUUGUCCAAGCAGACCAGGUUUCAAGAUGGACUGCGUAUCUCUACAUACGCUGUGAGUUUAAUAAGGAGUAUCACCUAGAGAUCAGAACCUCCUCCCUUGAAGACAGACUCUGAGCUGGCUGGCCACAGCAACU